AUGAACGUGAUGUAUAUAUAUGAUUGGCUGGUUGGUGGACGUUGCGUGUUGUGUGGUUGCCAAUUGCCACCGUUAUAAGGGCUUGAUGGGGCGCGAUUCACAGAUUGCCGCGAAAUAUAACUGCAUCUAUAUAUGUGUUGGUGCGCGCGGCGCGCAUAACAGCUGCGCGAACUCUCGAGAAGAAAGUUUUGAGACAUUUUUCUAUAAGUCGAAGUUGGCAACAUUUUCUACGCUUAUAUACAAUUUUGAAGAAUAUCAAAGCAAUACUUACUGUGCCUGGAACAUCAACAACCCACACUUCAUCGUCUUCAUCCAAGUCUUCUAUUGAGAAAGUUGGUUUCAUCUCAAGAUUUGCGUUCAGCGACUCUUUUUGUACGAAUUCAUCCAACUACGAGUUAAAAAUUACUUGAAACUUGAAAUAUUUUAAAUAAAAUUCUUUAUCCAAAUUAAA